UCAAACUUGGUCAUUUAGAGGAAGUAAAAGUCGUAACAAGGUUUCCGUAGGUGAACCUGCGGAAGGAUCAUUAUAAAAAUAUGGUCUCAAAACCAUUCUCCUGUGAUUUACGUAACUGUGUAUACUUUGGCAGGCUUUGGGUCGUUAUAUCGAUUCAUCUUCUACGUUCGUACGAACGUUUGAAGCUGGCCUGCCAGAGGUUUUCAUAAACACACGUUUAAACUACAGUCUGAAAAUCUCUUUCGAGAGAAUAAAAACAAAAUCAAAUACAACUUUCAACAACGGAUCUCUUGGCUCUCGCAUCGAUGAAGAACGCAGC
rnacentral:misc_RNA from 1 species